AUAAAUUGAGAGUUUGAUCCUGGCUCAGGACGAACGCUGGCGGCGUGCCUAAUACAUGCAAGUCGAACGAGAAUUUCUUACACCGAGUGCUUGCACUCACCGUAAGAAAUUCGAGUGGCGGACGGGUGAGUAACACGUGGGUAACCUGCCCAAAAGAAGGGGAUAACAUUUGGAAACAAAUGCUAAUACCGUAUAACCAUGAUGACCGCAUGGUCAUUAUGUGAAAGGUGGUUUUGCUAUCGCUUUUGGAUGGACCCGCGGCGUAUUAACUAGUUGGUAGGGUAACGGCCUACCAAGGUAAUGAUACGUAGCCGAGUUGAGAGACUGAUCGGCCACAAUGGGACUGAGACACGGCCCAUACUCCUACGGGAGGCAGCAGUAGGGAAUCUUCCACAAUGGGCG
rnacentral:rRNA from 2 species